GUAAAAAGUGACAGUUUUGACGACCGGUCUGGCCUAGUGGGUAGUGACCCUGCCUAUGAAGCCGAUGGUCCUGGGUUCAAAUCCUGGUAAGGGCAUUUAUUCGUGUGAUGAGCACAGAUAUUUGUUCCUGAGUCAUGGGUGUUUUCUGUGUAUUAAAGUAUUUAUAAAUAUUUAUA